GUAGGGAAUAUUGGACAAUGGGGGCAACCCUGAUCCAGCAAUGCCGCGUGAGUGAUGAAGGCCUUAGGGUUGUAAAGCUCUUUUACCCGGGAUGAUAAUGACAGUACCGGGAGAAUAAGCUCCGGCUAACUCCGUGCCAGCAGCCGCGGUAAUACGGAGGGAUCUAGCGUUGUUCGGAAUUACUGGGCGUAAAGCGCGCGUAGGCGCCUGUUUAAGUAAGUGGUGAAAGCCUGGAGCUCAACUCCAGUACUGCCUUUGAGACUGGAAAGCUAGAAUCCUGGAGAGGUGAGUGGAAUUCCGAGUGUAGAGGUGAAAUUCGUAGAUAUUCGGAAGAACACCAGUGGCGAAGGCGGCUCACUGGACAGAUAUUGACGCUGAGGUGCGAAAGCGUGGGGAGCAAACAGGAUUAGAAACCCUGGUAGUCC
rnacentral:rRNA from 1 species